AGAAGUGGAAUGAAUGUCCAUUUCAACCAAUUCUCAAUACUAUAACAGAGAAAUUGAGAAGCGAAGAUUAGAAAUUCGCAGAAGCAGAGGUAGAGGCAGAGGGGGAGAGAGAUGGGUGGGGUGACGUCGUCCAUGGCGGCCAAGUUCGCUUUCUUCCCGCCGAACCCAUCUUCAUACAAGCUGGUCAAGGAUGAGCUCACGGGUCUCCUGCUUCUCAGCCCGUUUCCCCACCGUGAAAACGUAGAGGUUCUCAAAUUGCCGACCCGUCGGGGCACCGAGAUUGUCGCCAUCUACAUUCGACACCCCAUGGCCACCUCUACUCUUCUCUACUCUCACGGCAAUGCCGCCGAUCUGGGUCAGAUGUACGAGCUCUUCAUUGAGUUGAGCAUCCACCUCCGCGUCAAUCUCAUGGGGUAUGACUAUUCUGGAUAUGGGCAAUCAUCUGGAAAGCCUAGUGAGCAGAAUACAUAUUCAGAUAUUGAAGCUGCAUACAAGUGUCUUGAAGAAAGCUAUGGUACUAAGCAGGAAGAUAUCAUCCUUUAUGGUCAAUCUGUUGGAAGUGGCCCCACUUUGGACCUUGCUGCUCGGCUACCUCAGUUAAGAGCUGUUGUUCUGCAUAGUCCCAUACUCUCUGGCUUAAGAGUCAUGUAUCCUGUAAAGCGUUCAUACUGGUUUGACAUAUACAAGAAUAUUGACAAAAUCCCACUGGUCAACUGUCCUGUUCUAAUCAUUCAUGGGACUUCAGAUGAAGUUGUUGAUUGCUCCCAUGGUAAGCAACUCUGGGAACUGUGCAAAGAGAAGUAUGAACCACUAUGGCUUAAAGGAGGAAAUCACUGUGAUUUGGAGCUCUAUCCCGAGUACAUCAGGCAUCUCAAGAAAUUUAUCUCUACUGUUGAGAAGUCUCCUUCCCAAAGAUACAGUUCCAGGAGAAGCACAGACCAAUUUGAGCAGCCUCGAAAGAGUACUGAUUUUUUUGAAGUUUCAAGGAAGAGCACCGAUCGAAGAGAGAAACCAAGGCAGAGCACUGAUAGGCCUGAAAAACUGAAAAAUCUGUCCACCAAUGUUGAUAAGCUAGAAAAAUUAAGAAUCUCUUUUGACCAUGUGGAAAGGUCUCGGAGAAGCGUGGAUUGCCACGAGAAGUCUCGGAAAAGCAUCGACCACCAGCUGGAAAGAGCACGGAAGAGUGUUGAUCGGCUGGAUAGAAUACGAACUGGGUAAUUUUUCCUAUAACCAAUUGUAAAAUUCAUCCACGGGUUUGGUAUUGUGGGGAAUUUAUUUGGUUUUUUUUUUCAUGUUCAUUUUAAAAGCAUGGUUUUGCAGCUGUGUAGUUUGGCUUAUGGCAGUUCUAUAUUACUAUGGUAUGAAAUGAGAAGGUCAACUGUACCCAAAAGUAUAGAAUACGCCUGAAAGCAGGCCAAGCAGCUCUAGAUUCAGGGGCUCUCGCUCCCUCGAUUAAUGUGUUCGUGGCAAUCCUCGGUAUAUGGAUCUGUACGUGGUCCAGAUCCUUGCUUUCGCAAGGUGGAACUGAAGAAAAGGGACAGAAGAUGGGGUGGGGGAACGAAGGUCUCCAAGAAAUUGCAUAUCCUGAUCGUUUGUGUUAUAGUUGGGGACCUACCAAGGAUUCUGUCUUUAAUGGUCUUCAAGAAAUUGAAUAUUGUGAUCUUUUUAUGCUGUACUUGAGAACAUAUUAACGAACUUUACACAUCACAUUAGAGAGUUUUACCUAUAAGCUUAAUAAUCUCCAGUGACAAGGAUCUUUUGAUAAUUCUGAUACAUUAAAUAAUUUAGCCGACAUGCAGACAAAAAUGGGAACAAGUGUAACAGAUAAAGUGGAA